GUGCGAUUUCUUUAGUUCUUUAUGCCAGCCCAGUCCCAACAACUCCGCCACGGGAACGUGGGCCCACAGCCACCGCCGCCGCCGACGCCCGGCGCUUGCUCCUCCCGAUCCAGACGGCCGGCGGCACGUCAGCGUCAGUCAACCCGAGGCCCUCCACGGGGCCACCCGGCGGUGCGCCUGGGCUGCGCCAGCGCCGCAGGACAGCGGGGGCUCGCAACCGCCGCUGGUCAUCCAGCAUCCUCGCCGCCUCGCCUCCGCUAGCCCCUUUCGAGCCAACGGGUUUAUGAAUUUAGCAGGGUUUAGUGGUACAGGCUAAAGGUGCAAAAUGGCGCAACCUUCUGUCAUUCUUGCAACUGCAAGCUAUGAUCACACAAUCAGGUUUUGGGAAGCCAAGAGUGGCCGCUGUUAUCGCACGAUUCAGUACCCAGACUCUCAAGUUAAUCGCCUUGAGAUAACCCCAGACAAGCGUUUCUUAGCUGCUGCUGGCAACCCUCAUAUCCGUCUUUUUGACGUUAACUCAAAUAGCCCUCAACCGGUAAUUAGCUAUGAUUCACAUACUAGUAAUGUUAUGGCUGUGGGGUUCCAUUGUGAUGGUAACUGGAUGUACUCAGGUUCAGAGGAUGGUACUGUGCGAAUCUGGGAUUUACGGACCGCGACUUGUCAGCGAGAAUAUGAAAGUCGAGCAGCUGUCAACACAGUAGUCCUACACCCAAAUCAGAAAGAACUAAUAUCUGGUGAUCAAAAUGGAAACAUACGUGUGUGGGAUUUGGCUGCUAACUCAUGCAGCUGUGAGUUGGUACCAGAGGUGGAUACUGCUGUAAGAUCUCUGACAGUCAUGUGGGAUGGGAGUAUGGUGGUUGCUGCAAAUAACCGUGGGACAUGUUAUGUUUGGCGCCUACUUAAGGGUACACAGACAAUUACCUGCUUUGAACCCCUUCACAAAUUGCAAGCUCAUGAUGGCUACAUUCUAAAGUGCCUUCUUUCGCCAGAAUUCUGCGAUCCUAACAGGUAUCUUGCGACAGCAUCAUCUGACAACACUGUAAAAAUUUGGAAUGUUGAUGGCUUCAAGUUAGAAAGAACUUUAGUAGGUCAUCAACGCUGGGUUUGGGAUUGCGUGUUCUCAGUUGAUGGUGCUUAUUUGAUUACCGCUUCAUCUGAUACAACUGCGAGAUUGUGGACGAUGUCAACCGGAGAGGCCAUCAGGGUGUACCAGGGACACCAUAAGGCAACCGUCUGCUGUGCUCUACAUGACGGGGCUGAAUCAGCUCCCUCUUAAAGUCAUAAGCACCGUAUAACCUUGGAUUCUGUACAUAACUCUGACUGCCUAGUUUCCAGCAUUGCUGUAACUUGAGAACAUGCGGCUACCGUAGUGAAACAGUGCACAGCCAUAUUUGGGGUUUCGUGUGAAGUAAUUUGGAUGCUAGUAGUAUUUGUCAAACUGUUUUAGGAAUA